GUACACAAAAAUGCACAUACUGUGAGCUCGAUGAGUAGGGCGGGACACGUGGUAUCCUGUCUGAAUAUGGGGGGACCAUCCUCCAAGGCUAAAUACUCCUGACUGACCGAUAGUGAACCAGUACCGUGAGGGAAAGGCGAAAAGAACCCCGGCGAGGGGAGUGAAAAAGAACCUGAAACCGUGUACGUACAAGCAGUGGGAGCCUCUUAAUGGGGUGACUGCGUACCUUUUGUAUAAUGGGUCAGCGACUUAUAUUCUGUAGCAAGGUUAACCGAAUAGGGGAGCCGAAGGGAAACCGAGUCUUAACUGGGCGUUAAGUUGCAGGGUAUAGACCCGAAACCCGGUGAUCUAGCCAUGGGCAGGUUGAAGGUUGGGUAACACUAACUGGAGGACCGAACCGACUAAUGUUGAAAAAUUAGCGGAUGACUUGUGGCUGGGGGUGAAAGGCCAAUCAAACCGGGAGAUAGCUGGUUCUCCCCGAAAGCUAUUUAGGUAGCGCCUCGUGAAUUCAUCUCCGGGGGUAGAGCACUGUUUCGGCAAGGGGGUCAUCCCGACUUACCAACCCGAUGCAAACUGCGAAUACCGGAGAAUGUUAUCACGGGAGACACACGGCGGGUGCUAACGUCCGUCGUGAAGAGGGAAACAACCCAGACCGCCAGCUAAGGUCCCAAAGUCAUGGUUAAGUGGGAAACGAUGUGGGAAGGCCCAGACAGCCAGGAUGUUGGCUUAGAAGCAGCCAUCAUUUAAAGAAAGCGUAAUAGCUCACUGGUCGAGUCGGCCUGCGCGGAAGAUGUAACGGGGCUAAACCAUGCACCGAAGCUGCGGCAGCGACACUAUGUGUUGUUGGGUA
rnacentral:rRNA from 1 species